AACCUAGCACACCUGCGGUGUGUACCUGCGGAAGGAUCAUUCAAGGAUUCAUAAUUUAAAAGGAAAUGUAGAGGGAAAAGUAAUAUUUUAUUACUUGACCCGAAACACCUUUUAUUUUUACACCUAACCAAUAUUUUUGGUAGUGACCUUUUUAAAAAGUGUAGUGUUUGUAUUGUCAAUGUGGCAUUGCAAAUGUGCUUACUUUUUUCAAGUUCACACUAAAUUAUUUGGCUGAUAAAA
rnacentral:misc_RNA from 1 species